rnacentral:rRNA from 1 species
UUUCCGUAGGUGAACCUGCGGAAGGAUCAUUGUCGAAACCUGCAAGGCAGAACGACCCGUGGACCGUCUAGAACUUUACUCGAGGGGUGGGCCGUUGUGGUCCUCGCUCGUUUGCCCCGGGGCGGGGUUGCUGGUCAAGGCUGCACCCCCUCGCCGUGGGCGCAAACAACAAACCCCGGCGCAAAUCGCGCCAAGGAAUAAGGAAGAGAGACGUGAUCCCUGGGUCCCGGAGACGGUGCACCUGGGAUUGCGUUGUCGUUAUCCAAUUCGAAACGACUCUCGGCAACGGAUAUCUCGGCUCUCGCAUCGAUGAAGAACGUAGCGAAAUGCGAUACUUGGUGUGAAUUGCAGAAUCCCGUGAACCAUCGAGUUUUUGAACGCAAGUUGCGCCCGAAGCCGUUAGGCCGAGGGCACGCCUGCCUGGGUGUCACGAAAUGUCGCCAAACAUGCCUCCACACCCGUUCUACGGGGGAGCMUCGGGGGCUGGCGGAUGUUGGCCUCCCGUGUGCAGUCGCUAACGGUUGGCCUAAAAGAGAGUCCCCCAGACGAGGUGGCCACGACAAGCGGUGGUUGAAAGCUUGUGCUCUACUCGAACACCGUCGUGGGCAAGCCUAGUCUAAAGGGGAAGCCGAAGGCCCUGACGCGGAGCGUCUCUCACACAGCGACCCCAGGUCAGGCGGGAACACCCGCUGAGUUUAAG